AAGCCACUUUAUACAAAUCGGAGAAUAAGAUUUUUCUCUCUAUUGUUGAGAGAAAAAUUUUCUCGUGCUAGUUGCUUUGGUAGUGAUAACGGCGCCCACACGUCAAGUGCAGAUCGAACCUGAGUCAUAACCUGGAAGAUCAUUGGUGACAGUUCGUGAUCUAACAAGCGUGGUGGUGACGGAUCGUGAUCUAACAGGAGUGGUGGUGGCGGAUCGUGAUCUAGGAGCCUAAAUCACUUCAGCGGAAAAAGCCAACUCGGAUUUUCAAGGUACGAUUUCUAGAAUACGAAUUCUUAUAUAUUAUAUGAG
rnacentral:lncRNA from 1 species